ACAGAGGGUGCAAGCGUUAAUCGGAAUUACUGGGCGUAAAGCGUGCGUAGACGGUUAUCUAAGUCGGAUGUGAAAUCCCCGGGCUCAACCUGGGAAUUGCAUUCGAGACUGAAUAGCUAGGGUGCGGAAGAGGGAAGCGGAAUUUCCGGUGUAGCGGUGAAAUGCGUAGAUAUCGGAAGGAACAUCAGUGGCGAAAGCGGCUUCCUGGUCCAGCACCGACGUUCAGGCACGAAAGCGUGGGGAGCAAACAGGAUUAGAUACCCUGGUAGUCCACGCCAUAAACGAUGAGGACUAGACGUUGGAGGGGUUAGCCUUUCAGUGUCGCAGCUAACGCGAUAAGUCCUCCGCCUGGGGAGUACGGCCGCAAGGUUG
rnacentral:rRNA from 1 species